GUCGGCGUCGUGACCUUGCAGACGGCGUCCGUGCCGGUCGUCAGCGAAUUGCCGGGCCGCACCAGCGCGUUCCUCGAUGCGCAGGUGCGCGCGCGUGUCGAUGGCAUCGUGCUGCGUCGCGAGUUCACCGAAGGCGGGCUCGUCAAGCAGGGUCAGCGGCUGUACAAGAUCGA
rnacentral:ncRNA from 1 species